rnacentral:lncRNA from 1 species
UGUCACCAAGACAGGGGUAUUCUGACUUUUUUCAACAAUUUACUUUGAAUAGAUAUAGUAAUGGGGACGUCCAGCCACAAAUUUCCUUUCAUUUGGAGCUCUGAAGGGUCUUCACUCUGAUGGCCUUCAGACUCAAACUACAACAUCAGCUAUUCCCUGGGUCUCCAGCCUGCCAGCCCCCUCUGCAGAUUUUGGACUUGCCACCCUCCAUAAUCACAUGAGCCAAAUCCUUAAACCCAUGGACAAAACCUCCAUGUCAAGAACAUACAGAGAAGGAUGGACCAACUUCUGGCUCUCAGCAAUCCGCAGGGACUUCUGAGGCCACAUCUCCCGUGCAUCAAAUGGUUUGCAUACUUUGUGCUGCAAGAGAAAAAGAGGGACUUUUUCUCUGUUUAUUUUUUUGAUAUUAUGUUGUUAUUUUGUUUUCAACUGCAUUAUAUAACCAAAACUACACAUUAAAGGCCAUAGAACUUAAUAAUAAUGAUACAGAAAUAAAG